CCUGCAGCACAGGGAGGGUGUGGGGGAGGGCCGGGCUGCACCCCAGGAUCCCGAGUGCCUGGGAGGACACGCUCCUUCCCCCUAAGAUGUCUGCGUCGGACUUUCAAGGUGCAGGGACCUGGGCAGCCCCUCCCCGGGGGACUAGCCACCAGCCAUGGCCCCUGCUGCCUGGGCUUUUAGGGAGAGGUCCCAGGGCACAGACCAGAGGCCGACAGAUACGCUCACUCAGGGGCGAUGCCUCAGGGUCUGACAGAUGCACUCACUCAGGGGUGAUGUCUCAGGGUCUGGCCCCACUGUAGGGACCACCCGUCACUUCACUGUGGGUGGGGGCGGGGGGCUCCACUGCCUGUUCUCUCAGGGCCAUUGGCUGGGAGGGGUCACUGUGGCUCCCUGCUAGGCCUGUACCCCCCAGGCUGCAGCCCUGGCUUCUAGAAGCAGUCUGGGGGUUCCUCUCCACGGUGGGCCCUAGGCAGACACCUUCUCAAGCGCUUACACCCCCAGGGGUGAUGGCUAGCGGACCCCAGGCAGACUCCAAGAGCCAGGCUCUUAAUCCCGGUGCAGAGAUGUCACAGGCAGAGGGACUGUGCAUGGGAUGUGAAGGGGCUCUGGGUAGGGAGGGGAGGCCAGGAGGGGCAGAAUUGGGGGUCCACCAUCCACCCCCAGGAGUGCCAGGACACAGCACCCUCUGCUCUAAUGAGAGCAGCCCUGCCUGCCUGAGACCUAAUCACUCAUCAACCAAGGUGGGCUCAACUCCGCAUCGCUCAGCUGCAAGCCAGCCCAGUGCAGACACAGUUUAAUAACUGGCUGGAGUGCAGUGGCGCGAUCUCGGCUCAUCACAACCUCCACCUCCUGGGUUCAAGUGAUUCUCCUGCCUCAGCCUCCCGGGUAGCUGGGAUUACAGGCAUGAGCCACCACACCCAGCUGAUCAACAGUUGUAUUUUUAAGAAGUAUGUAUCUAGCCAGGCUCGGUGGCCCAUGUCCAUAAUCCCAGCACUUUGUGAGGCCGAGAUGGGAGGAUGGCUGGAGCCCAGUUCAUGACCAGCCCAGGUGACAUAGCAAGACCCUGUCCCCACAAAAAAAUACAAAUAUAAGCCUUGUGUGGUGGUGGCACCUGUGAUCCCAGCUACUCCGGAGUCUGAAGCAGGAGGAUCACUUGAGCCCAGGAGGUCGAGGCUGCAGUGAGCUGUGAUUGUACCACCGCACUCAGCCUGGGCGACAGAGACCCUCUUGCUAAAUCUGGCGACCUUCAGCUAAGCAAGAGCGGGGGCCGCGUGGACCUGGGGAAGGCCAGACGGCGAGUGUGCACCAGCCCCAGGGCUCUGUCCCAGCCCCUUCUGGAAAGUUCCAGGCCUGUUUUGCUCCAGAGCUGGAUGGCGUCAGGCAGUGAGCAGCCACGAGGGCAGGAGGCAUCGUUAGCGCUGCCCCUUCACGUCACCCUGGAACCCAGGCCCUGCAGCAGGGGACCCCAAGGCCCACUCGGGCGCAUGACAGCCACCCCGGCCAUGUCAGAGCCCUCCUGAGCUCGUCACAGACACUGGUACCUGCACCAGCAGGUAGCACAAGGGCGCGAGACGGGGACUCCCUUCCCUCCUGGGAAGAUGCCACCAAAACAGCUGGACAGACACGAGAGGCGGGGUCUGGCAGUGUGCACGGUGGGGACAGAGCCGGGCCGGGGCUAACAGAUGGCCCUGUGGACGCGUCCUCACAAGCCAGGUUUCUUCCUAUCUGUAUAUGCCAGGCAUCUGCCAGGCUUUCCGCAGUGAACUCGGGGGCACUAUCCUCGGUACCCAGAUGCCCACCUGUGUGCCACUCCCCUCCCAAACCAGCCCCUGAGCCCGAGCUCUGUUACCUGCAGCGAACUCCUCGAUGGUCAUGAGCGGGAAGCGAAUGAGGCCCAGGGCCUUGCCCAGAACCUUCCGCCUGUUCUCUGGCGUCACCUGCAGCUGCUGCCGCUGACACUCGGCCUCGGACCAGCGGACAACGGCAUUGAACAGCCGCACCUCACGGAUGCCCAGUGUGUCGCGCUCCAGGACAGCCACCAGCGUGUCUGUGGGGUGGAGGAAGGGGCUGCGUGAACACGACACCCACAUGCCCACCCUGCAGGAGGCAGUGAGACUAACGUGAGGACCAGCAGUUAAAGCCGGGCUGGCAACUAUGGCCCGUGGCCCAAAUCUGGCCCUGUGAGUGUGUUUAUAAAUAAAGCUUUAUCAACACAA